GGCCUAACCCCAUUGAUAAUUUCGGUGGGUAUGGCUUAGAAAUCCGUCCAAGGUAAAGAACUCCUCGUCAGGAGUACCUUGGACGGUCGUGUCGGGAAACCGGCAUGGAUGGGUUUACACCCAUC
rnacentral:sRNA from 12 species